GAGUUUGAUCAUGGCUCAGGAUGAACGCUGGCGGCGUGCUUAACACAUGCAAGUCGAGCGGAGUGAAUUGAGAGCUUGCUUUUGAUUCACUUAGCGGCGGACGGGUGAGUAACGUGUGGGCAACCUGCCUCAUACUGUGGAAUAACCACCGGAAACGGUGACUAAUACCGCAUGUGGUGUCGGGAAGGCAUCUUUCUGACAAGAAAGGAUUAUAUUCGGUAUGAGAUGGGCCCGCAUCUGAUUAGCUAGUUGGUGAGAUAACAG
rnacentral:rRNA from 1 species